AGCGACAAAGCUCGGUCCGCGGCGGGCCCGGGAGUGCGGGGCGUGCUGGGGCGGGGGGCGGCGGGGAGGGGCCGAGCGCAGGAGGCGGAGGCGGGAGCAGACCAGCGCGGCCGCGCUGAGCCGGCCGGGCCGACCGUGACGGGUCCCCUCACCUCCUCUCCUUUCCCCUCCCCGACCGCCCUCCCGUUCGCUCCUUCCUGACGCCGGGAGCAGGCUCUUGCCUGGCGCCGCUGCUCGGCAAGCCACUCCUGUUCGCUCCAGGCGCGCGGGGCGCUCCCGCGAGCCUCGCGGAUGCUGCUGCUAGGGGUGGUGGGAGCAGCCGUGGGACGUGUGGCCGGGAGAGGGGGUGACAGCCUGGGAUUCCGGGGGCUUCUCUUCCUUGUCCUCUUCUCCUCUCUAUUCCCAGUGUGGCCGCGGCUGACACUAAAGACUUUGUAGCCAUCAACCCAAGUGCAGUUUCGAUGGAAAAUGAAGGUAUCUGUGCCCAAAUGCCACCUUACUGGAGAGGUCCUCCCUGCUC